rnacentral:rRNA from 1 species
AUUAAACGCUGGCGGCAUGCCUUACACAUGCAAGUCGAACGGCAGCACGGGGUUUACCCUGGUGGCGAGUGGCGAACGGGUGAGUAAAGCAUCGGAACGUGCCCUGGAGUGGGGGAUAACGUAGCGAAAGUUACGCUAAUACCGCAUAUUCUGUGAGCAGGAAAGCAGGGGAUCGCAAGACCUUGCGCUCUGGGAGCGGCCGAUGUCGGAUUAGCUAGUUGGUGGGGUAAAGGCCUACCAAGGCGACGAUCCGUAGCGGGUCUGAGAGGAUGAUCCGCCACACUGGGACUGAGACACGGCCCAGACUCCUACGGGAGGCAGCAGUGGGGAAUUUUGGACAAUGGGCGCAAGCCUGAUCCAGCCAUGCCGCGUGAGUGAAGAAGGCCUUC